UACGGGGGGGGCUAGCGUUAUUCGGAAUCAUUGGGCGUAAAGGGCGCGUAGGCGGCGCGGUAAGUCAAAGGUGAAAUCCCUCGGCUCAACUGAGGAACUGCCUUUGAAACUGCCGUGCUUGAGUCCGGGAGGGGGUAGCGGAAUUCCCAGUGUAGCGGUGAAAUGCGUAGAUAUUGGGAGGAACACCAGUGGCGAAGGCGGCUACCUGGACCGGAACUGACGCUGAUGCGCGAAAGCGUGGGGAGCGAACAGG
rnacentral:rRNA from 1 species